rnacentral:rRNA from 1 species
UACAGAGGGGGCUAGCGUUGUCCGGAAUCAUUGGGCGUAAAGAGCGUGUAGGCGGUCCGGUAAGUCCGCUGUGAAAGUCGGGGGCUCAACCCUCGAAUGCCGGUGGAUACUGUCGGGCUAGAGUGCGGAAGAGGAGUGUGGAAUUCCUGGUGUAGCGGUGAAAUGCGCAGAUAUCAGGAAGAACACCAAUGGCGAAGGCAGCUCUCUGGGACGGUACUGACACUGAGACGCGAAAGCGUGGGGAGCGAACAGG